UACCAGCACCCCGAGUGGUCGGGACGUUUAUUGGGCCUAAAGCAUCCGUAGCCGGUUCUACAAGUCUUCCGUUAAAUCCACCUGCUUAACAGAUGGGCUGCGGAGGAUACUAUAGAGCUAGGAGGCGGGAGAGGCAAGCGGUACUUAGUGGGUAGGGGUAAAAUCCGUUGAUCCAUUGAAGACCACCAGUGGCGAAGGCGGCUUGCCAGAAUGCGCUCGACGGUGAGGGAUGAAAGCUGGGGGAGCAAACCGG
rnacentral:rRNA from 1 species